GCCUAGAAAAACACACAGCGUUUGAAACAAAACUGCUACAACUGAAGACCAACUUAAUCCUAACUACAACUAUGCAUAUAACAAAUCAAUGUGAACUAGUGAAACAACAGAACAAAAGGCAAUUGAAAAUCCUGAAACUAGCUUAGAAGCCAUAAAGAGACACUUGACUGCUAAAAGUAAUUAUCAGAAAACAUCUGAGGGAAGGGGAGAGAAUUCCCAGGUUAAAAGGGACAAAUUCCAGCCUACAUGCACAAGAUGUGGAAAAAGUCAGAACCCAAGAAAUGAUACAUGCCCAGCCAAAGACAGAAGUUGUAAUAAAUGCACUAAAUAUGGACAUUUUGCAGCUAUUGGCCACCCCAAGUCAGUCAGGAAGUUGGACAAUAUUACAGACCAUUAGGAGUCGUCAUUUCUGUGAUCUAUCUCUUGUGAUGACACACAGCCUUCCUGGAGAGUGAAACUGAAUAUUCAUGGCAACACUAUUGACUUUAAAAUUGACUUAGGAGCUGACAUCACAGUCAUAUCAGAAGGGACUUGCAAUUGCUUUAAAAGUCUUCCAGAGCUGAAGUCACCUGACACAGCUUUGACUAACCCUGGAGGUAUUCUGAACUGUAUGGACCAGUUCACCACAAACAACUUAAAAAGAUACAAGUUAUGCAUUGAGUGCAUGUGAUCAAAAGUUUAAAGACUAACAACCUUCUCAGCUGUAGUGUGGCAGCAAUAAUGGGCCUAGUGAGAAAGGUGGAAGAACUCAGAGGAAUUGAUGUACUGGAUCUCCAUUCAAAUAGUCCAAUAUCAAAUCAACUAAAGAGACAAUGCUGAACCAUACAAAACGCAAUCACCCCUACCAGAGAGAUCUUGGAAGAGACUAGCUCCUGAUUUAUGCAAAUUUAGAGGAUGUUGUUACCUGGUUGUAGUGUUCUACUUUUCCAAGUAUAUAGAAAUAAUGUACUAGAAAGACACUACAUGUUGCAGUGUUAUUGAGAAACUGAAGUGUCCUUUUGCUCGUUUUGGUAUUUCAGAACAACUAGUGCUGGAUAACAGGCCAAAAUUCACUGCAGCAGAAUAUACAUCAUUACAAAUGAAAUAUGAUUUUGAUCAUAUUACUAGCAGCCAACAUUAUACAUGAGCAAAUGGAGAGGCUGAGAGAUCUGUACAGACAGUCAAAAACAUCCUACAGCAGGAAGAUCCAUUCCUUGCUCUUAGUUGAAAAUCAACACUAAUAGCAUCUAUUGGAUAUAAUCCAUCCGAACUCUUGAUGGGAGGACAAUUUAGAACUGUUGUUCCAACUUUGGAAAAGGAUAUAUCCUCAAAGCGGCCAGACAUGAAGAGAGUAACCAAACUGGAUAAAAAGGCAAAAAGAGCCUACGAAUGCUUUUUACAACGCUUUCAGUUAGAGAACUGCUGGGUCUAGAACCUGAUGACCAUGUUUAUGUCAAAUUGGAUGGAGAAAAGUUAUGGACAACUCCAGCUGUCAUGAAGAAACAAACAAUUCACUUCCCAGAUCAUAGAUGAUUGAGACCUGACAGCGGAGAGUUCAAGGAACUGUCAACAGCUACAGUUUGUUCCUUAGAAAGAAUAAUCAGCAGAGCAAACUCUACAGAUGAUAGAUGAACAACAAGACGACCACUCAGAAAUUCCAAAUUGACCACAGCCACUCAUUGGAACUAAUGGACAGCCAGAUGACAAAGUGGUUAUGCAUUCAGGAAGUGUAAUUAAAAAGCCAGUAUGAUUCAGA